UUGUAUAAUCCAUGGACGCCGCCAGACAUUUGAGGUCGUUGGGAUGCUUGCAUCUGGAAUAUCAAUAUGACUAAGAAGAUGAAGAGAGAUUCCAAACAACCAUUUUGGAGGAAAGCUAUCUUAGUGAAGAUAAGACAUCCAGAUUAGCAAAUCUCUCUCAACUACAAGUAGUCACAAUAUCUCAAGGAGUAGCGCUUCUUUCAGCAGCGAAUGAC
rnacentral:lncRNA from 1 species